AUUGAACGCUGGCGGCAUGCCUUACACAUGCAAGUCGAACGGCAGCACGGGAGCAAUCCUGGUGGCGAGUGGCGAACGGGUGAGUAAUAUAUCGGAACGUGCCCAGUAGUGGGGGAUAACUGCUCGAAAGAGCAGCUAAUACCGCAUACGACCUGAGGGUGAAAGGGGGGGAUCGCAAGACCUCUCGCUAUUGGAGCGGCCGAUAUCAGAUUAGCUAGUUGGUGGGGUAAAGGCCUACCAAGGCAACGGUCUGUAGUUGGUCUGAGAGGACGACCAGCCAAAAUGGGACUGACAGACGGCCGAGACUCCUACGGGAGGCAGCAGUGGGGAAUUUUGGACAAUGGGCGCAAGCCUGAUCCAGCAAUGCCGCGUGCAGGAAGAAGGCCUUCGGGUUGUAAACUGCUUUUGUCAGGGAAGAAAUCCUCUAGGUUAAUACCCUGGGGUCAUGACGGUACCGUAAGAAUAAGCACCGGCUAACUACGUGCCAGCCGCCGCCGUAAGAC
rnacentral:rRNA from 1 species